rnacentral:rRNA from 1 species
UACGAAGGGGGCUAGCGUUGCUCGGAAUCACUGGGCGUAAAGCGCACGUAGGCGGCUUUUUAAGUCAGGGGUGAAAUCCUGGAGCUCAACUCCAGAACUGCCUUUGAUACUGAGAAGCUUGAGUCCGGGUGAGGUGAGUGGAACUGCGAGUGUAGAGGUGAAAUUCGUAGAUAUUCGCAAGAACACCAGUGGCGAAGGCGGCUCACUGGCCCGGUACUGACGCUGAGGUGCGAAAGCGUGGGGAGCAAACAGG